rnacentral:tRNA from 1 species
UUCCUGGUGGCUCAGAGGUUAAAGCGUCUGCCUCCAAUGCAGGAGACCCAGGUUCGAUCCCUGGGUCGGGAAG